rnacentral:rRNA from 1 species
UACGUAGGGUGCGAGCGUUGUCCGGAAUUAUUGGGCGUAAAGAGCUCGUAGGCGGCUUGUCGCGUCGACUGUGAAAUCCCGAGGCUCAACCUCGGGUCUGCAGUCGAUACGGGCAAACUAGAGUAUUGCAGGGGAGAACGGAAUUCCUGGUGUAGCGGUGAAAUGCGCAGAUAUCAGGAGGAACACCGGUGGCGAAGGCGGUUCUCUGGGAAUGUCCUGACGCUGAGGAGCGAAAGUGUGGGGGAGCGAACAGG